rnacentral:rRNA from 1 species
UACGUAGGGGCCGAGCGUUGUCCGGAGUUACUGGGCGUAAAGCGCGCGCAGGCGGCCUCGCGCGCCCCGACGUGAAAGCCCCCGGCUUAACCGGGGAGAGUCGUUGGGGACGGCGGAGCUUGAGGGCGGGAGAGGUCGGUGGAAUUCCCGGUGUAGUGGUGAAAUGCGUAGAGAUCGGGAGGAACACCUGUGGCGAAGGCGGCC